CAACCAAUAAUACCAGCUACUUAUCGAUCAUCUUUAAAGCAAAUGACAAAGAGUUUGGUGAUUGGUAUUCGAAAUUUCAAGUUCGAAUUCUAAUUGAUUUAUAUUUUCAGCUAAGUUUAUUUCUAAAUGAAAUAAAUAAAACAAACAACGUGCUGUCUAUCUCUAAAAAUAAUAAUAAUAAUAAUACGAGCUACUUUUAUUCCCAUGGAGAGCUAAAAGAAGCUGAUUUAGUAAACAUUUACAUCAUUAUGUAGAUAAAAAGAUAAACGACUAGAUUUUGAGUGAGAACUAAAAUCUAUAUCCCAUCAUAUAAUGUAAAACUACUUUUUUUUUUGAGAGAUAGAUAUCACAUUAUUCGUUUCGUUUAUUUUAUUUAGAAAUAAACUUAGUUGGAAAUAUGAAUCAACUAGGAUUUGAAUUUGAAAUCUCGGGUACUAACUAUUUUUUUUUGUUGAGAGAGAUGGGUAUCAAGUACUAUUUUUUUUUGUGAGAGAUAGGUAGCACGCUACAUGCUACGUUUAUUUUAUUUAGAAAUAAACUUAGCUGAAAAUGUGAAUUAAGUAGGAUUCGAACUUGGGUCUCGGAUACCAACCACCAAACCCUUUAUCACUUGCUAUAGUACCAACUACUGUUGUUCUCAAAAGAAUCGUGUAUUCAUGACAUUUUGAUAAGUUCAAGAUGAAAACUAGUGCGAUUCAAAUUCCACACCUCUUACUUUGAUGUAAGGUUAAAUAAUAUGAUAAAAUAAUUAUUAUUCUCUAAAAAUUUAUGUAUUUAU
rnacentral:lncRNA from 1 species